rnacentral:rRNA from 1 species
AGAGUUUGAUCCUGGCUCAGGACGAACGCUGGCGGCGUGCCUAAUACAUGCAAGUCGAGCGGACAGAUGGGAGCUUGCUCCCUGAUGUUACCGGCGGAACGGGGUCAGUAACACGUGGGUAACCUGCCUGUAAGACUGGGAUAACUCCGGGAAACCGGGGCUAAUACCGGAUGGUUGUUUGAACCGCAUGGUUCAAACAUAAAAGGUGGCUUCGGCUACCACUUACAGAUGGACCCGCGGCGCAUUAGCUAGUUGGUGAGGUAACGGCUCACCAAGGCAACGAUGCGUAGCCGACCUGAGAGGGUGAUCGGCCACACUGGGACUGAGACACGGCCCAGACUCCUACGGGAGGCAGCAGUAGGGAAUCUUCCGCAAUGGACGAAAGUCUGACGGAGCAACGCCGCGUGAGUGAUGAAGGUUUUCGGAUCGUAAAGCUCUGUUGUUAGGGAAGAACAAGUACCGUUCGAAUAGGGCGGUACCUUGACGGUACCUAACCAGAAAGCCACGGCUAACUACGUGCCA